rnacentral:lncRNA from 1 species
AUGGAGAAAUAUAGUAGGGAGCUGCCCCGGGACUCACCUGCAGCGCCUGCCACCUGCGCCGCUGGAGAGCCCCGCGCUGCCGUGGGGCGGCCGCGCCCGACGGGAGCAGGGAAAGUAACAAUUGUCAUGAGAUUCUGCUGGAAAUGGGCAUGAUCCUAGAAAGCUGAACACAAGAGAAACAGGACACAAGACAAAAGGAACUGGAGGUGCUUUACAGGGAAAAGGACGGGAAGUGAGAUGGCUGCUUUGUAUACAAAAAUAGAAUAUUUGAUCCUGUUAGAGAGUCCCAGAGUACAGAAGUGAUUCCCUUUCAGGACUCCGCAGGUAAAGAGUUUGCUACAUGAAUGCUGCCUAGCCCUUUUGAUUCCUGAGCUAAUGGCAUUGCCAUUUCAACACAAAAGAUUUCAGCAUCCCCAGAGGUCUCCCUAUUCUUUCUAUUCUUUCUAUCUCCUGCUUGAGAAAGCUGGAGAGAAUGACCUUGUAACAUAUUUCUGGCAUCAGAUGAGUGAGAAAUGAGGUAGGAUAUCUCCCUAUGCUAUCCUACCCAUUGGCUCAGGAGUGACUCAGCCUUUUAUCUUUCCGAAGUAAAUAAAUAGAGCUCUCUGCAGCA